rnacentral:misc_RNA from 1 species
AACGCACAUUGCGCCCACCAGUAUUCUGGUGGGCAUGCCUGUUCGAGCGUCAUUUCAACCCUUAAGCCCCUGUUGCUUAGCGUUGGGAGCCUACGGCCAGCCCGUAGCUCCUCAAAGUCAGUGGCGGGGUCGGUUCGCACUCUGGGCGCAGUAGAUCUUCUCGUCUCGCCCGCGGCGCGUGCCGGUCCCCUGCCGUAAAACCCCCCCGAAUUGUAAGGUUGACCUCGGAUCAGGUAGGAAUACCCGCUGAACUUAA